rnacentral:rRNA from 1 species
GGCCUUGACAUCCAGAGAACUUAGCAGAGAUGCUUUGGUGCCUUCGGGAACUCUGAGACAGGUGCUGCAUGGCUGUCGUCAGCUCGUGUUGUGAAAUGUUGGGUUAAGUCCCGCAACGGGCGCAACCCUUAUCCUUUGUUGCCAGCGGUUCGGCCGGGAACUCAAAGGAGACUGCCGGUGAUAAACCGGAGGAAGGUGGGGAUGACGUCAAGUCAUCAUGGCCCUUACGGCCAGGGCUACACACGUGCUACAAUGGCGCAUACAAAGAGAAGCGACCUCGCGAGAGCAAGCGGACCUCAUAAAGUGCGUCGUAGUCCGGAUUGGAGUCUGCAACUCGACUCCAUGAAGUCGGAAUCGCUAGUAAUCGUAGAUCAGAAUGCUACGGUGAAUACGUUCCCGGGCCUUGUACACACCGCCCGUCACACCACGGGAGUGGGUUGCAAAAGAAGUAGGUAGCUUAACCUUCGGGAGGGCGCUUACCACUUUGUGAUUCAUGACUGGGGUGAAGUCGUAACAAGGUAAGCGUAGCGAG